rnacentral:rRNA from 1 species
GACGAACGCUGGCGGCGUGCUUAACACAUGCAAGUCGAACGGAAAGGCCCUGCUUUUGUGGGGUGCUCGAGUGGCGAACGGGUGAGUAACACGUGAGUAACCUGCCCUUGACUUUGGGAUAACUUCAGGAAACUGGGGCUAAUACCGGAUAGGAGCUCCUGCUGCAUGGUGGGGGUUGGAAAGUUUCGGCGGUUGGGGAUGGACUCGCGGCUUAUCAGCUUGUUGGUGGGGUAGUGGCUUACCAAGGCUUUGACGGGUAGCCGGCCUGAGAGGGUGACCGGCCACAUUGGGACUGAGAUACGGCCCAGGCUCCUACGGGAGGCAGCAGUGGGGAAUAUUGCACAAUGGGCGGAAGCCUGAUGCAGCAACGCCGCGUGCGGGAUGACGGCCUUCGGGUUGUAAACCGCUUUCGCCUGUGACGAAGCGUGAGUGACGGUAAUGGGUAAAGAAGCACCGGCUAACUACGUGCCAGCAGCCGCGGUGAUACGUAGGGUGCGAGCGUUGUCCGGAUUUAUUGGGCGUAAAGGGCUCGUAGGUGGUUGAUCGCGUCGGAAGUGUAAUCUUGGGGCUUAACCCUGAGCGUGCUUUCGAUACGGGUUGACUUGAGGAAGGUAGGGGAGAAUGGAAUUCCUGGUGGAGCGGUGGAAUGCGCAGAUAUCAGGAGGAACACCAGUGGCGAAGGCGGUUCUCUGGGCCUUUCCUGACGCUGAGGAGCGAAAGCGUGGGGAGCGAACAGGCUUAGAUACCCUGGUAGUCCACGCUGUAAACGGUGGGUACUAGGUGUGGGGUCCAUUCCACGGGUUCCGUGCCGUAGCUAACGCUUUAAGUACCCCGCCUGGGGAGUACGGCCGCAAGGCUAAAACUCAAAGGAAUUGACGGGGCCCCGCACAAGCGGCGGAGCAUGCGGAUUAAUUCGAUGCAACGCGUAGAACCUUACCUGGGUUUGACAUGGAUCGGGAGUGCUCAGAGAUGGGUGUGCCUCUUUUGGGGUCGGUUCACAGGUGGUGCAUGGCUGUCGUCAGCUCGUGUCGUGAGAUGUUGGGUUAAGUCCCGCAACGAGCGCAACCCUUGUUCACUGUUGCCAGCACGUUAUGGUGGGGACUCAGUGGAGACCGCCGGGGUCAACUCGGAGGAAGGUGGGGAUGACGUCAAGUCACCAUGCCCCUUAUGUCCAGGGCUUCACGCAUGCUACAAUGGCUGGUACAGAGAGUGGCGAGCCUGUGAGGGUGAGCGAAUCUCGGAAAGCCGGUCUCAGUUCGGAUUGGGGUCUGCAACUCGACCCCAUGAAGUCGGAGUCGCUAGUAAUCGCAGAUCAGCAACGCUGCGGUGAAUACGUUCCCGGG